GUGGGGAAUCUUCCACAAUGGACGAAAGUCUGAUGGAGCAACGCCGCGUGAGUGAAGAAGGGUUUCGGCUCGUAAAGCUCUGUUGUCGGGGACGAAUGUGCAGUAUUUGAAUAAAGUAGUGUAAUGACGGUACCUGACGAGGAAGCCACGGCUAACUACGUGCCAGCAGCCGCGGUAAUACGUAGGUGGCAAGCGUUGUCCGGAAUUAUUGGGCGUAAAGGGAGCGCAGGCGGGAAGGUAAGUCGGUCUUAAAAGUGCGGGGCUCAACCCCGUGAUGGGAUCGAAACUAUCUUUCUUGAGUGCAGGAGAGGAAAGUGGAAUUCCUAGUGUAGCGGUGAAAUGCGUAGAUAUUAGGAGGAACACCAGUGGCGAAGGCGACUUUCUGGACUGAACCUGACGCUGAGGCGCGAAAGCAUGGGGAGCGAACGGGAUUAGAUACCCGGGUAGUCC
rnacentral:rRNA from 1 species